CUUAUACCCAUUUUUAAUGGUAUACAGGGUAUACAAAUAAAUGGAAACAAAGGUGCAUGGAGUUGUGGGUGUAUAGCCGUAUGGCACGCCAUGGAGUUGGGUAGAUUUAUGAGCUGUGGGCUUUAAGCUGGUCUGACAUUGCAGAGAUUACUGUAACACACAAACAGCUAGGCAAGUAGUAGGCGGUGCCAACAAUUAGACUCAAAUAAAUUGGUUAACAUAAAAGACGUAUAUUUCUUUAAAAAAAAAGGUAUUUUUAAAAAACAUUAAUAUAAAGCUGAACGUUGCGAACUUUGGUUAUAGUCCUUUUGAAGCUUCAACUUGUUGAGAAUUGUAAGUUCCAAGUAAUGCAAAAAGUAAAGUAGGCACAAAAAAAGUCGUGCAAAAGCUAUGCAGACAACCUGCUCACUCUUUGGUGAUUAUUAUUUAUACAAAAAUAAUAACAUCCAUUGACCUCGAGCUAGAGAAAAUACAAAAGGUUUGAAAAUUAAAUCGAUUUAUUAUCAGUAUAUCUGCAUAAGCACGCCAUAGUCAGUUUUAUCCAAAUGCAAUUUGCUCUGCAGGCAAUAUAAAAGGAAGAAAAUCACAAAAAUUGUUGUACAUCUUGUUAUGCGCUCUAUUAAAGCUAUCAACCUGCUGGCCUGUGGUGCAGCUCCGGUCUGUAACAUGCACUGCAUCGAUGUUGUUCCAAGCGUAAUUGAAAUUGUCAAUGGUAGGACGCCGGUCCUAUAACGAGCACAGCUUGAUGCAUUUUCGUGGAAAAGCCAGGCGCUAUUCUGACCAAACAAAUGGACAUAAUCAAGAGGCCAGCGGCAGGCACAAGGAUACGCCCAAAGAAGUGCACAGCAAUUGUGUAAUGACCAUUCAAUUAAUUGGUCUUCAAUUGAAUAAGUUGUUUUGGCAUCUGCACGGCUAUCCAGUCGCGAUUUCGCAUUAAGAAUUUCCAGGAAUUUUAAUUUAACUGCAUGCUUUCUCUCCGCUGAUCGACUGCGCAAUACUCUAUUCGCUGUGUAAAAGCUACUCAAUCGUAUCGUGUGCAGUGUAUUUAAAAUUGUGUCAUUUGCAUAAUAUUUAUCUGUAUAUUCAUAUACUCCAUUUUCCCUUGAGCACAAAAUGGAAAAAGUUAUUUGUUUUAUAUAACUACAUUACUAGUAAAAAAAGUCCCUGUUUUUUUUCAUCCAUUUCCCGAGAAGAAGCUUCUCUAACUUCAUUGUCGUACAAAAUAUAGACAAUUGUUUAUGUUUCCAUUGAAAUUUAAAGUUAAAUUUAUUUAUUAAUAAUAAAUGUAUACAUAUAUAAUUUUUACAAGUUCGUAAAGCUACUCAAAAGUUUUCACCACAUUUACCAAGUUUUUAUUUGAAAUAUUCUUGUUAUGAUCGGGAAAUAAUUUUCGUACAUACAUAUAUCGUAUCAGAUUCUAAUACAAGGUAAUCUCUCUACAAUACAUACAUACAUACAUACAAUAUAUAUAUAUAUAUAUAUAUUUAUAUAUAUUUACGGAUCGCCAUUAUCAUUUUAAAUAUAUUAUCAAGCCAUACUUGGAUUUAGUGUUUUACUUUUCUCGUUUUUUCCAAAACAUUUUACAAAGCAAUCGAAAAGUGUUUAUGGUUUUAUAUAUAUAUAUAUAGGAUAAAUAAGUGAAGUGUUAAUCAGAUGGUAAUUAUUGGCUAUAUCUGGCUGGCUUAAAUUAUCAUACAGUUUAGGACCUAUAAGCGAAAAAAUUUAACAAACAAUUGUGGCUAACAUAUAAAAAAGAACUAAAGCAAGAAAAC